rnacentral:rRNA from 1 species
CCUACGGGAGGCAGCAGGGAGGAAUAUUGGACAAUGGGCGCAAGCCUGAUCCAGCCAUGCCGCGUGCAGGAAGAAGCAUCUAUGGUGUGUAAACUGCUUUUGUACAGGAAGAAACACUCCCCCGUGAGGGAGCUUGACGGUACUGUAAGAAUAAGGACCGGCUAACUCCGUGCCAGCAGCCGCGGUAAUACGGAGGGUCCGAGCGUUAUCCGGAAUCAUUGGGUUUAAAGGGUCCGUAGGCGGUUUAAUAAGUCAGUGGUGAAAUCUGGUCGCUCAACGAUCAAACGGCCAUUGAUACUGUUAGACUUGAAUUAUAAGGAAGUAACUAGAAUAUGUAGUGUAGCGGUGAAAUGCUUAGAUAUUACAUGGAAUACCAAUUGCGAAGGCAGGUUACUACUUAUGGAUUGACGCUGAUGGACGAAAGCGUGGGGAGCGAACAGGAUUAGAUACCCUGGUAGUCCACGCCGUAAACGAUGGAUACUAGCUGUUCGGAGCAAUCUGAGUGGCGUAGACGAAGUAGAGUAAGUAUACCUACCGUACGGGUAGGGUACGGUUACGUCGAACGAAGUAAGUAAACGUUAAAACGUAAAAGUUAAGUACGGUACGUAGAGAGUAGACGACGACGACGACGAGGAGGAGGAGG